rnacentral:rRNA from 1 species
UACGUAGGUGGCAAGCGUUGUCCGGAUUUACUGGGCGUAAAGAGCGCGCAGGCGGUCGUACAAGUCGCGUGUGAAAGCCCCCGGCUCAACUGGGGAGGGUCACGCGAUACUGUUCGACUCGAAGGCAGGAGAGGGAAGUGGAAUUCCCGGUGUAGUGGUGAAAUGCGUAGAUAUCGGGAGGAACACCAGUGGCGAAGGCGACUUCCUGGCCUGUUCUUGACGCUGAGGCGCGAAAGCUAGGGUAGCAAACGGG